rnacentral:rRNA from 1 species
GUAGGUGGCAAGCGUUGUCCGGAAUUAUUGGGCGUAAAGCGAGCGCAGGCGGUCCUUUAAGUCUGAUGUGAAAGCCCACGGCUCAACCGUGGAGGGUCAUUGGAAACUGGGGGACUUGAGUACAGAAGAGGAAAGCGGAAUUCCAAGUGUAGCGGUGAAAUGCGUAGAGAUUUGGAGGAACACCAGUGGCGAAGGCGGCUUUCUGGUCUGUAACUGACGCUGAGGCGCGAAAGCGUGGGGAGCAAACAGGGAUUAGAUACCCUGGUAGUCCACGCCGUAAACGAUGAGUGCUAAGUGUUAGGGGGUUUCCCGCCCCUUAGUGCUGCAGCUAACGCAUUAAGCACUCCGCCUGGGGGAUACGGCCGCAAGGCUG